rnacentral:rRNA from 1 species
GACGAACGCUGGCGGCGUGCUUAACACAUGCAAGUCGAACGGAAAGGCCCUGCUUUUGUGGGGUGCUCGAGUGGCGAACGGGUGAGUAACACGUGAGUAACCUGCCCUUGACUUUGGGAUAACUUCAGGAAACUGGGGCUAAUACCGGAUAGGAGCUCCUGCUGCAUGGUGGGGGUUGGAAAGUUUCGGCGGUUGGGGAUUGACUCGCGGCUUAUCAGCUUGUUGGUGGGGUAGUGGCUUACCAAGGCUUUGACGGGUAGCCGGCCUGAGAGGGUGACCGGCCACAUUGGGACUGAGAUACGGCCCAGACUGCUACGGGCGGCAGCGGUGGAGAGUAUUGCACAAUGGGCGGAAGCCUGAUGCAGCGGCGCCGCGUGCGGAAUGACGGCCUUCGGGUUGUAAACCGCUUUCGCCUGUGACGAGGCGUGAGUGACGGUAAUGGGUAAAGAAGCACCGGCUAACUACGUG